rnacentral:tRNA from 1 species
UUAAUUGAAGCCAAAUUAGAGGCUUUUCACUGUUAAUGAAAGAAAUGAUUAAUUAUUAAUCCAAUUAAA